rnacentral:rRNA from 1 species
UACGUAGGGACCAAGCGUUGUUCGGAUUUACUGGGCGUAAAGGGCGCGUAGGCGGCGUGACAAGUCAAUUGUGAAAUCUCCGGGCUUAACUCGGAACGGUCAAUUGAUACUGUUGUGCUAGAGUACAGAAGGGGCAAUCGGAAUCCUUGGUGUAGCGGUGAAAUGCGCAGAUAUCAGGAAGAACACCUAUGGCGAAGGCAGCUCUCUGGGACGGUACUGACGCUGAGACGCGAAAGCGUGGGGAGCGAACAGG